rnacentral:lncRNA from 1 species
CUACUUCAUUGUGGUGUAAAUCUUCUUCCUCAAGGAGAAAAAUCACUAUGUGCACUAUUUUUAGUAUCAAAGUAGGUUCAAUUUGCCUGUAGUGUUCCACAUCAAUUUUAAAGCCAUGGUUUGCCAAUGUGCCUGCAAUGCCCCAGGCUGAAGAUCGAUUCAAGAGACAUGAAGAUCCCAUGGUUGCAAGAAUGGAUGGUAGUACUGUAGGUGGAGCGUGAUUGUGCAGUUGAUCGUUGCCUUAGAGGAUUAGACUGGGAGGAUGAUAUGACAUCAAAUGCAUCAUCUGAGUACCUCAUCUACCCUUUUUGCCGUCAUAUUCUAAAUCAAGAGUUGGUUCAUCAUCCCUCACUUGAAGAGUCUUGUAGGAUUGUGUAGGCUUUUUGGCACCAAAGCCAAGCUUCCUGAGUGUCACAAGAGGCUCAAUCCAUAAGACUUUCUCAAUUGGAUCAUCACCAUUGAGAGGUUUUUUGAAGCUAUGGAUGUCCCCAACAACAAGAAGGUGAAGAGUGCGACUUGAAAUUACAAGGCUAUGCAUCUAUAUGGUGGGAGAAUAUCAGACGUUCUUGAGCAUUAAAAAUUGAAGACUAUUAAUUGACCAAAGAUAGAGAAGCAUCUACAUCCCCACUUCCUUUUUGUAGAUCACUCUCUCUCUUUCUAUCAAUCUUAUAUGAAUCUUAGGGUGAAAGGAGCAUCAAUGAUUACACGGAGGACUUUAUCAAAUCUGCUUUGGCAUGCACGCAUGAAGGUGAAGGAAC